rnacentral:rRNA from 1 species
UACGGAGGGUGCAAGCGUUAUCCGGAUUCACUGGGUUUAAAGGGUGCGUAGGUGGGCAGGUAAGUCCGUGGUGAAAUCUCUGAGCUUAACUCAGAAACUGCCGUGGAUACUAUUUGUCUUGAAUGUUGUGGAGGUGAGCGGAAUAUGUCAUGUAGCGGUGAAAAUGCUUAGAUAUGACAUAGAACACCAAUUGCGAAGGCAGCU